rnacentral:rRNA from 1 species
GACGAACGCUGGCGGCGUGCUUAACACAUGCAAGUCGAACGGAAAGGCCCUGCUUUUGUGGGGUUCUCGAGUGGCGCACGCGUGAGUAACACGUGAGUAACCUGCCCUUGACUUUGGGGUAACUUCAGGAAACUGGGGCUCAUACCGGAUAGGAGCUCCUGCUGCAUGGUGUGGGAUGGAAAGUUUCGGCGGUUGGGGAUGGACUCGCGGCUUAUCAGCUUGUUGGUGGGGUAGUGGCUUACCAAGGCUUUGACGGGUAGCCGGCCUGAGAGGGUGACCGGCCACAAUGGGACUGAGAGACGGCGCAGACUCCUACCGGAGGCAGCAGUGGGGAAUAUUGCGCAAUGGGCGGAAGCCAGAUGCAGCAGCGCCGCGAGCGGGAUGACGGCCUUCGAGUUGUAAACCGCUGUGGCCUGUGACGAAGCGUGAGUGACGGUAAUGAGUAAAGAAGCACCGGCUAACUACGUG